rnacentral:rRNA from 1 species
GACGAACGCUGACGGCGUGCUUAACACAUGCAAGUCGAGCGGUAAGGCCCUUUCGGGGUACGACGAGCGGCGAACGGGUGAGUAACACGUGGGUGACCUGCCCUUAGCUCUGGGAUAAGCCUGGGAAACUGGGUCUAAUACCGGAUAUGACUCCAUGACGCAUGUUGUGGGGUGGAAAGCCUUGUGCGGCUGGGGAUGGGCCCGCGGCCUAUCAGCUUGUUGGUGGGGUGAUGGCCUACCAAGGCGA